rnacentral:lncRNA from 1 species
UUUUUUGCAGGGUGUUAAAGAAUCUUGUUUUGUCAUAUUACCAGAGUUGGUUUUCUGAUUCCUUCUCAUUUGGGUAGGUUCUGUCAGAGGAAAGGUCUAGGGCUCAAGGCUGUUGUUCAGAUUCUUUUGUCCCACAGUGUGUUCCCCUGUUGUAGUACUCUCCUCCUUUUGCUAUGAAUGCAGCUUCCUGUGAGCUGAACUGCAGUGAUUGUUAUCUCUCCUCUGGAUCUAGCAAACCAGCAGGUCUACCAGGCUCUGGGCUGGUGCUGGGGGUUGUCUGCACAGAGUCCUGUGUUGUGAACUGAAUGUGGGUCUCUCAGCUGUGGAUACCAGCACCUGCUCCAGUGGAGGUGGCAGGGGGCAUGAAAUGGACUCUGUGAGGUUCUUUAGUUUUGGUUGUUUAAUGUUCUAUUUUUGUGCUGGUUGGUCUCCUGCUGGGAGGUGGUGCUUUUCAGAACACCUUAGUUAUGUAAGAAUCCCUGGGCUGCUGUGAAGAGUGCCUAUGGCAGCAGAAUAAUGGUCUCCCGGAGGCGUACAUAUCCUAAUCCCUGCAACCUGUGGAUGCUACUUUCAUGGCAAAAUAAUUUUGGAACACAAGGAGGCAGAAAGAACUGUGUCCCAAUGUUGUGAGAAGAGAAAGACACAAUGAACCACUGCUGGCUUUGAAGAUGGAAGAGGGAGCUGCAACCCAAAGAAUGCCUCUAGAAGCAGGAGAAGGCAAGAAACAGAUUCUCGCCUAGAGCUUCCAGAAAGGAGCACAGUGCCAGCACUUUGAUGUUAGCCAUUCUUAAGAAGUGACUCUCCAGGGGAGCUAAAAUCCAUGUAUUUGGGCACACACUUGAACAAUAUUGCUAGAGAAAUUUAAGCAAGAGCACAAAGGCACUACGUUGUCUGGGAUGAUGGAAGGAGCUAAAGUCUUCAGUGAAUGAAGGAGCAGGACCAGGAGCUCAAAAUACUUCUUUGAAGACAAAGAAGAAAUGAUAUUACCAAAUGGUUGGCUCAAAAGAACAGGGAUUUUGCAACAGAGAGAGUAUGUCAUGGUCUUGAACAAGCAAUGAAAGAAUCAUCUGAAAGGAAUGUGGAGAUCAGAGAAAAAUGAUGGGAAAGUUACCACAGCCUGCAAAUGAGAAAUGAUGAGAGCCUGCCUGGGACAAAGAAUCUACAAUAGAUCUUCUCCAGCAGCUCUGGAGGUCAGACCCAGCUGUGGAGAGAAUCAUUUCUAAAAAACUAGAAGGCACGUUGGGAGUUUUGCCAGGACGAUUAAAUAUCAUUGAUGCUUCUGGUCUACAAUUAGUCAGAGAAGAGAUUAAAAAAAUGAUGAGUAUUCAAGAAGGAAAGUGUUUGCUUUAACAUAUGAAGAAAAGGAGCUUCAGAGUGGUGAUUAACCCCAGAAUUGUGUGGAACGGAUAUGGAAACAAGACCACAGGAGCAUCGAGAACUGAGCAGAACUGAAGGUGACAUGAAAAUCAGCUGCAAGAUUCACCUCAGGGUGAUAAUGGGCUGCAGGUGGCUGCAGGAAUCCCGGGACAUUCUAGGCACUGCCAUAUUUUCUUAGGGGCCAGUAAGGAUGGCUAUCAUCAGAUGUACCUGAUGAUACAAACAUGGGCUGUCUUGCCUUCUAGUAUUCAUUCUUGAUGAUUGCAUCCAGAGCUCACUUUGGAGGUGCAGAUCAACUCUUCUUCAGGCUCAUCCAUGCGACUUGAGUGGGCUCUCAUCCCCAUUCCCAGGGGCUUAUGACAAUCAAGGUUUCCACUCCUCCAUGGUCUCAAUGGUUUUUCUCCCCAUGGGAAGCACAUAAUCCCAUUAGAGGCCACGGGAAGCUUUUUUGUUGGGCUUUGAGGGAAAAAAGGCUUUUGCAGCCAAUGAAUCGAUCAAUGUGUACUUCAACCUGGAUUGUAUGUAUGCAUCUCCUAGAUUGGGCGGAUGAUGAAGUGAGGCUGGAAGUGCUGAGCAUCUUCCUACCUGGGAUGACUGGGCUGAGCAGGAAGCCUACCCCGGGGUUCCAGCCAAGUUGGAGCCUGUGAGUGUGUGGUGUAGUUUAACGCCCUGAUUAAAUCACUAGGAAGCCAUUUCUCUCUCUCCUCCCAGACCAGAUCAGACAAUAUGUUCCCUUAUUUCUACUAAAGCCCCAAUUGGAUUUUGUGUCUUUUGAUACUGAAAGAAUCUUACCACAAAUAAAAUAAUUUGUCAUGUGGCUCCUACAUAUUUAUUCAGUUACAUAAACUAACUAAAUAAAUGAAUAAACUGUCAAUAAUGGUAGUUCCUCAUCUAUGAAUGACUCUUUACAAAGCCUAUCUCGCUUAAUAGUCAUAAUAAAUACUGAAGUAGAUACUAUUUAUACCUUUUUUUUAAAAGGAAUUAAAUAUUUUCAGGGUUAUACAAAGCAUGAGUAUUGUGGGUACAAAUUCAAGCUUUCUAACUCAAAUUUGAAGACUUAUCCCCAGGAUACUUUUACAUCUUUAGCUAGUACCAUGUAUACCUCAAAAGCUUACAUUAUUUUUCACAUGUGUUAGGUUUUGAGGGAUAAUCAAUAAGGAGGGCAUACUUUCAGGCUUCUUAUUUAUAACUGUGAAAUUUAGAAAUUGAUGGAGUAGCAGAUUUCUCGGUAGGAGACAGCUGUUUUAAAAUGCCCCAUGUUUUUAUUAAAGUAAAAAUCUCAAAAAUUGUCUUUUAAAAAGUGGCUCUGGCCAAUCUUAGAUAAAACAUCAUUUACUAGACUUAGGAAUUUCCUGUAGUAAAUUUCAGAUUUACUUUUCGGUCUCACAUCAUCAAAGAGAUCAUAACCCUUUGUGCAAUUAUGGUCUUGAACCAAGGCCUAUUCUCUAGGUCACUGCUGUCAGGACUUCAAGAUAAUUGUUUCCAUUGCAGGAUUUGAUUUUUAAUUCCCCGGAUGUUCUUGACGUGGUUCAGUUCUUCAGGAAAUCAUCACCCUCAUGAGCCCUCCCUGCCACUUGCAGAUAGGGCUUUCUCCCGGUAAGUUCUGGAGUCACGGCAGAGCUCAAUAAGUCUGAUUGGGACCUCCUAUGAUUAU